rnacentral:rRNA from 1 species
GGAAUAUUGGUCAAUGGGCGGAAGCCUGAACCAGCCAUGCCGCGUGAAGGAUUAAGGCCCUAUGGGUCGUAAACUUCUUUUGACGGGGAGCAAUAAGGGCGUCGCGCACGUCCGAUGAGAGUACUCGUCGAAUAAGCAUCGGCUAACUCCGUGCCAGCAGCCGCGGUAAUACGGAGGAUGCAAGCGUUAUCCGGAUUUAUUGGGUUUAAAGGGUGCGUAGGCUGACGUGUAAGUCAGAGGUGAAAUCUCCGGGCUCAACCUGGGAACUGCCUUUGAUACUGCAUGUCUGGAGUUCGGAUGCCGUGGGAGGAAUGGGCAGUGUAGCGGUGAAAUGCAUAGAUAUUGCCCAGAACACCGAUUGCGAAGGCAUCUCACGAAUCCGACACUGACGCUGAGGCACGAAAGCGUGGGGAUCAAACA